UCCGUGCUAAGGUAGCAUAAUCACUCGUCCUCUAAUUAAGGACUAGAAUGAAUGGAUUAACAAAAAAUAACUUUCUUUACUUUAAAUAUAAAACCUAAUAUAUGGAUGAAAAAUUCCAUAUUUUUUAAAAAGACCAAAAGACCCUAACGAGCUUAAAUAUUUUACAAAAAUAUUUUUAAUUGGGGCGAUUAAAGAUAUAUUUCAUCUUUUUUAAAAAUAAACAAUAAUUCCACCUAAAAUAAAUAUAAAAUAGUUACCGUAGGGAUAACAGGCUACUCAAUUUUAAAAGUUCAUAUUAACAAAUUGUCUUAGCACCUCGAUGUCGGCUUAAGGGUACUCUAAA
rnacentral:rRNA from 1 species